rnacentral:rRNA from 1 species
UGGGGAAUAUUGCACAAUGGGCGAAAGCCUGAUGCAGCAACGCCGCGUGCGGGAAGAAGGCCCUAGGGUUGUAAACCGCUUUCAGCAGGGAAGAAAAUGACGGUACCUGCAGAAGAAGGUGCGGCCAACUACGUGCCAGCAGCCGCGGUGACACGUAGGCACCAAGCGUUGUCCGGAUUUAUUGGGCGUAAAGAGCUCGUAGGCGGUUCAGUAAGUCGGGUGUGAAAACUCUGGGCUCAACCCAGAGACGCCACCCGAUACUGCUGUGACUUGAGUACGGUAGGGGAGUGGGGAAUUCCUGGUGUAGCGGUGAAAUGCGCAGAUAUCAGGAGGAACACCAGUGGCGAAGGCGCCACUCUGGGCCGUAACUGACGCUGAGGAGCGAAAGCGUGGGGAGCAAACAGGAUUAGAUACCCAGGUAGUCCCUGAGCGGGCUGGCAAGGCGCAU